AAGAUCAUAACAACACUGUGGAUUUAUUACCUCCUCUGGACCUUGAUUUUCUCCUGGAACCCUCAUCAUGGUGUUAGUAUAUGCAAUUAUGCUUGCUGUUACCAUCUCUGUAAUGCAUUGUUCUCACAUAGGUGCAUUAGAUGAAGUAAGUCUUGGCACUGCAUAUGUUGAUGCUGCUGCCAAGUGAGUUGCUUUAAAGGGUUCUCCAACAACAUUAAGUAUUGCAGCUCUUAACCCAAUGUCUACGCUUCUGUUGAAUAUCUGAACAAAUUACAAGGACUACCCUCAGAAAGAAAGGGCUCAAGGUUUCCCUCUGACUGUGUAUUACACUUAAAUCACACAUGGAGAUCUCCUGAUAGCAGACCUAUAGCUCCCCCUCUUUGAUUCCUACACCUGCAUGUGCAGUCCACUCAGCUGGCUACUCUUGCAAAAGAUGUGUUGUAUUCUGCAGUGUCUUUACAGGAUCAGGAGCUGUGUACUGUAUCAAAUGGUGUGUUCAAGAAACUCAGGGAAACUCUGGAACAGCCAAGCUCUCAUCUUCAAUGACUGCAGAAAGUUCUGAGGCUUCAGUGUGAAUGAAGCUCAUAUAAAGUAAAGAAUAUUUUGCUAGUGCUGUACUGGUUCCUCAGAUGAUAGUAAUAUUAUUCUUAUCCCAGAAUAAUGGUGUAUUCUUUGUACAGUGUUUCAGAAGUGGAAUGUCAUAAAAAUCAUAUCACCCUCCAACUUCCACAUGACACCAGUAAUUCCUAGUCUGGACUAGGAAUGUGUGCUGUUUUUAGACUGGGAUGUAAUUAAUUUUCUUCGCAGUACCUAAUGUUGCCCUGUGUCUUGGAUUCAUGAUGAAAACUAUGCUGAUAACCCAGGGAUGUUUUCGUUAUGGAUGAGCUUUUCUCACACAGAGCCAAGGCCUCUUCUGCUCCUUACCAACCCCACUAGUAAGGAGGGUGGUAUGCACAAGGACACAGCCAGGACAGCUGAUCCCAAAUGACCCAGUGCAUAUCACAUCCCAUACAGCAACAUGCUCAGCAUAUAAAUCUGGGGGAGAAGAAGUACGUGGGUCACGCUUAGAGUGAUGACAUUUUGUCUUCCCAGGUCCCACUGCAUGUGAUGGGACCCUGCUUUCCUGGACAUGGCCAAACACUUUCCUGACAUGGGAAGUGAUGAAUAAAUUCCUUGGUUUGCUUUGCUUGAGAGUGUGG
rnacentral:lncRNA from 1 species